GAGGCAAGCAGAGGUCGGGAUUCCUUCUUUCCUGCUCUGAGAGGGACCAGGUGCCUCCUCCGUAGCUUUUGUCUUUCUGUUGCCUGCGCGUGUCCUGGACUGCUCACGGGAGUUCUGCAGGAGACGCCGGAAUAUCUGGAAGCUGAAAAAUGGAAAUAAAUGGAAAGACCAGAAUAUUGAAGAUCACUACAGAACUCUAAG
rnacentral:antisense_RNA from 1 species